UACAGAGGGUGCUAGCGUUGUUCGGAAUCAUUGGGCGUAAAGGGCGUGUAGGCGGUUUGUUAAGUCAUGUGUGAAAGCCCCCGGCUCAACCGGGGAACGACGCAUGAAACUGGCAAGCUAGAGUACCGAAGAGGGGGGUGGAAUUCCCGGUGUAGCGGUGAAAUGCGUAGAUAUUGGGAGGAACACCAGUGGCGAAGGCGGCUCACUGGACCGGAACUGACGCUGAGGCGCGAAAGCGUGGGGAGCAAACGGG
rnacentral:rRNA from 1 species